UACGUAGGGACCGAGCGUUGUCCGGAAUCAUUGGGCGUAAAGAGCGUGUAGGCGGCUAUUUAAGUCCUGCGUGAAAUCCUGCGGCUCAACCGCAGACGGUCGUGGGAAACUGGAUGGCUAGAGUGCGGGAGAGGAGAGUGGAAUUCCCGGUGUAGCGGUGAAAUGCGCAGAUAUCGGGAAGAACACCGGUGGCGAAAGCGCUCUGCUAGGCCGCAACUGACACUGAGGGACGAAAGCUAGGGGAGCGAAUGGG
rnacentral:rRNA from 1 species